rnacentral:misc_RNA from 1 species
GCUGCUUGGGAAUGUAAAAUUCCUUCAUUUGCUAUAAUGCUAAAUUAUCAGUUGUCAAAUAAAAUGACUUAAAAUUCAAUAUAGUCAUUCAAGACAUAACUAUGACAUGAAUUAUGACAUAUUCUUAUAGGUAUCAUUUAUUUUGCAGAGCUUUUUGAUACACAGGAAUAUUACUUUGGAUUUCUGUUUUCUUUGCUCCCCAAAUUAAUUUGCUUCUUAAGCUUUUCCUCUUAAGGUUGAGAUACUGUUUAAGAUUUUGGUUUAUCUAAAGUUGACACACAAUAUUGCUUGGUAUUUCUAUAAUUUCUAUUUAAAUUUAAUUUUUAGUUAUAGUAGAUUAUUGCAUAUCCUUCAAGUACUUUGAUACACAGAGGAAUGACUAUUAUUGUUCUGUCUCUCUGGAAACUAUUG